CAGCCGCCGCGGUAAUACGAAGGGGGCUAGCGUUGCUCGGAAUUACUGGGCGUAAAGGGAGCGUAGGCGGACAUUUAAGUCAGGGGUGAAAUCCCAGAGCUCAACUCUGGAACUGCCUUUGAUACUGGGUGUCUUGAGUGUGAUAGAGGUAUGUGGAACUCCGAGUGUAGAGGUGAAAUUCGUAGAUAUUCGGAAGAACACCAGUGGCGAAGGCGACAUACUGGAUCAUUACUGACGCUGAGGCUCGAAAGCGUGGGGAGCAAACAGGAUUAGAUACCCGGGUAGUCCCUGUCUCUUAUAC
rnacentral:rRNA from 1 species